ACAGGCGAGCGAGCGGCAUCCGGGCGGACCCCCGCCUCGGGGACCGGGAAACUGAGGCUCGGGCGGCCCCGAGACGCCGUCAAGGUCACGUAGGUGGUGGGGGCUUGCACCUUCGCCUCCCAGCUCCAUCCAGUGUCCCUGGCCAGUGUCCUUCCACCUGUCCACAAGCAUGGGGAACAUCUUCGCCAACCUCUUCAAGGGCCUUUUUGGCAAAAAAGAAAUGCGCAUCCUCAUGGUGGGCUUGGAUGCUGCAGGGAAGACCACGAUCCUGUACAAGCUUAAGCUGGGUGAGAUCGUGACCACCAUUCCCACCAUAGGUGAGGUGGGGGCCAGCAGGGAGUGGGCUGGGCUGGGCUGGGCCAAGGUACAAGGCCUCACCCUGCAUCCCGCACCCAGGCUUCAACGUGGAAACUGUGGAGUACAAGAACAUCAGCUUCACUGUGUGGGACGUGGGUGGCCAGGACAAGAUCCGGCCCCUGUGGCGCCACUACUUCCAGAACACACAAGGCCUGAUCUUCGUGGUGGACAGCAAUGACAGAGAGCGCGUGAACGAGGCCCGUGAGGAGCUCAUGAGGAUGCUGGCCGAGGACGAGCUCCGGGAUGCUGUCCUCCUGGUGUUCGCCAACAAGCAGGACCUCCCCAACGCCAUGAAUGCGGCUGAGAUCACAGACAAGCUG
rnacentral:sRNA from 1 species